AGUGAACGCUGGCGGUAGGCCUAACACAUGCAAGUCGAACGGCAGCACAUUAAGAGCUUGCUCUUACGGGUGGCGAGUGGCGGACGGGUGAGGAAUACAUCGGAAUCUACUUUUUCGUGGGGGAUAACGUAGGGAAACGUACGCUAAUACCGCAUACGACCUACGGGUGAAAGCAGGGGAUCUUCGGACCUUGCGCGAUUGAAUGAGCCGAUGUCGGGUUAGCUAGUUGGCGGGGGAAAGGCCCACCAAUGCGACGAUCCGUAGCUGGUCUGAGAGGAUGUCAAGACACACUGGAACUGAGACACGGUCCAGACUCGUACGGAGGGCCGGAGUGGGGUCCAUUGGAAAACGGGAGCAAGCCUGAUCCAGCAAUACGGCGUGGGUGAAGAAGGCCUUGGGGUGGUAAAGCCCUUUUGUUGGGAAAGAAAAGCAGCAGGUUAAUACCAAGAUGUUCUGACGGUACCCAAAGAAUAAGCACCGGCUAACUUCGUG
rnacentral:rRNA from 1 species